rnacentral:rRNA from 1 species
GACGAACGCUGGCGGCGUGCUUAACACAUGCAAGUCGAACGCUGAAGACCUGGCUUUUGUUGGGUUGGAUGAGUGGCGAACGGGUGAGUAACACGUGAGUAACCUGCCCUCUUCUUUGGGAUAACGCCCGGAAACGGGUGCUAAUACUGGAUAUUCACUGAUCUUCGCAUGGGGGUUGGUGGAAAGGUUUGUUCUGGUGGGGGAUGGGCUCGCGGCCUAUCAGCUUGUUGGUGGGGUGAUGGCCUACCAAGGCUUUGACGGGUAGCCGGCCUGGGAGGGUGACCGGUCACAUUGGGACUGGGAUACGGCCCAGACGCCUACGGGAGGCAGCAGUGGGGAAUAUUGCACAAUGGGCGAAAGCAUGAUGCAGCGACGCCGCGUGAGGGAUGGAGGCCUUCGGGUUGUAAACCUCUUUCGCUCAUGGUCAAGCCGCAACUGUGGGUUGUGGUGAGGGUAGUGGGUAAAGAAGCGCCGGCUAACUACGUG